rnacentral:rRNA from 1 species
UAACUGAAGAGUUUGAUCAUGGCUCAGAUUGAACGCUGGCGGCAGGCUUAACACAUGCAAGUCGAGCGGGGGAAGGUAGCUUGCUACCGGACCUAGCGGCGGACGGGUGAGUAAUGCUUAGGAAUCUGCCUAUUAGUGGGGGACAACAUCUCGAAAGGGAUGCUAAUACCGCAUACGUCCUACGGGAGAAAGCAGGGGAUCUUCGGACCUUGCGCUAAUAGAUGAGCCUAAGUCGGAUUAGCUAGUUGGUGGGGUAAAGG